rnacentral:rRNA from 1 species
UACGAGAGGCCCAAACGUUAUUCGGAAUUACUGGGCUUAAAGAGUUCGUAGGCGGCAUGACAAGUAGGGUGUGAAAGCCCUCGGCUCAACCGAGGAAUUGCGCUCUAAACUGUCGUGCUAGAGGAACCUAGGGGUGAGCAGAACUGAUGGUGGAGCGGUGAAAUGCGUUGAUAUCGAGAGGAACACCUGCGGCGAAGGCGGGUUGCUGGGCUGAUACUGACGCUGAGGCGCGAAAGCUAGGGGAGCGAACGGG